AACACAUGCAAGUCGAGGGGCAGCGGGAUGUAGCAAUACAUUGCCGGCGACCGGCGGAUGGGUGCGUAACGCGUAUGCAACCUACCUUAUACAGGGGAAUAACCUUUCGAAAGGGAGACUAACACCCCAUGGUAUUGAUUUAAGGCAUCUUAGAUUAAUUAAAUAUUUAUAGGUAUAAGAUGGGCAUGCGUAUGAUUAGCUAGUUGGUAAGGUAACGGCUUACCAAGGCGACGAUCAUUAGGGGUUCUGAGAGGAAGGUCCCCCCACACUGGUACUGAGACACGGACCAGACUCCUACGGGAGGCAGCAGUGAGGAAUAUUGGUCAAUGGGCGCAAGCCUGAACCAGCCAUGCCGCGUGCAGGAAAGACGGCCUUAUGGGUUGUAAACUGCUUUACAUAAGACUAACCGUAUAUUUGCGAAUAUACCUGAAUGUAUUAUGAGAAUAAGGAUCGGCUAACUCCGUGCCAGCCGCAGC
rnacentral:rRNA from 1 species